rnacentral:rRNA from 1 species
UAAGGGAUAUUGCGACAAUGGGCGAAAGCCUGACGCAGCAACGCCGCGUGUGGGAUGACGGCCUUCGGGUUGUAAACCACUUUUCGGGGGGAAGAGGAAGGACGGUACCCCCGGAAGAAGUCUCGGCUAACUACGUGCCAGCAGCCGCGGUAAAACGUAGGAGGCAAGCGUUAUCCGGAUUUACUGGGUGUAAAGCGCGUGCAGGCGGUUUGUCAAGUCGCGUGUGAAAGCGCCCGGCUCAACCGGGCGAGGCCGCGCGAAACUGGGAAACUGGAGGCCGGUAGAGGCGUGUGGAAUUCCGGGUGUAGUGGUGAAAUGCGUAGAGAUCCGGAGGAACACCAGUGGCGAAGGCGACACGCUGGACCGAGCCUGACGCUCAGACGCGACAGCAUGGGGAGCGAACGGG